AUGGAGUAGUGGUUUGUUGUGAGUGAGGUUGGGAGAGAACUGUGGGGUAUUUGAGCUUGAAAAAACAGAGGUGGAGUUGUUUGGAAAAUAGACUUGGCAUCUUUGCAUAAUAAGUGAGUGAGUUAGAGAAAACAUGUAGAUUUAGUGGUUGUGUUGUGUGAGUUAUAUUAUAUAUAGGCAGUAUGGGUUAGAUUGUAGUAGUUUUUAUCCCCAAACAAGUUUGUAGUAGUAUCUUUCAACUUUUGUCUAAUACAAUCUUUGUAUAAAUUAUUACAAUGUUUAUUACAAUUUUUAUAUAGUGUUAUUUUCUAAAUUUUG
rnacentral:lncRNA from 1 species